UCUCCUUUGUUCCAACGGUAAGAUGCCUACUUGUCUUGUCGGCGACAGUGGUUCGACUCCACUAGGGAGAG